AUUGAACGCUGGCGGCAUGCCUUACACAUGCAAGUCGAACGGUAACGGGCCAUCGGGUGCCGACGAGUGGCGAACGGGUGAGUAAUGUAUCGGAACGUACCUUUCAGUGGGGGAUAACGUAGCGAAAGUUACGCUAAUACCGCAUAUUCUGUGCGCAGGAAAGCAGGGGAUCGCAAGACCUUGCGCUGAUUGAGCGGCCGAUAUCAGAUUAGCUAGUUGGUGAGGUAAAGGCUCACCAAGGCGACGAUCUGUAGCGGGUCUGGGAGGAUGAUCCGCCACACUGGAACUGAGACACGGUCCAGACUCCUACGGGAGGCAGCAGUGGGGAAUUUUGGACAAUGGGGGCAACCCUGAUCCAGCCAUGCCGCGUGAGUGAAGAAGGCCUUUGGGUUGUAAAGCUCUUUCGGCCGGGAAGAAAUCGUAUCAGCUAAUACCUGGUGCGGAUGACGGUACCGGCAUAAGAAGCACCGGCUAACUACGUGCCAGCCGCCGCCGUAAAAC
rnacentral:rRNA from 1 species